AUUGAACGCUGGCGGCAUGCCUUACACAUGCAAGUCGAACGGUAACAGGUCUUCGGAUGCUGACGAGUGGCGAACGGGUGAGUAAUACAUCGGAACGUGCCCGAUCGUGGGGGAUAACGCAGCGAAAGCUGUGCUAAUACCGCAUACGAUCUACGGAUGAAAGCGGGGGAUCGCAAGACCUCGCGCGGACGGAGCGGCCGAUGGCAGAUUAGGUAGUUGGUGGGAUAAAAGCUUACCAAGCCGACGAUCUGUAGCUGGUCUGAGAGGACGACCAGCCACACUGGGACUGAGACACGGCCCAGACUCCUACGGGAGGCAGCAGUGGGGAAUUUUGGACAAUGGGGGAAACCCUGAUCCAGCCAUGCCGCGUGCAGGAUGAAGGCCUUCGGGUUGUAAACUGCUUUUGUACGGAACGAAAAGGUCCUUUCUAAUAAAGAGGGCUCAUGACGGUACCGUAAGGAAUAAGCACCGGCUAACUACGUGCCAGCAGCCGCGGU
rnacentral:rRNA from 1 species